CCUACGGGAGGCAGCAGUGGGGAAUCUUGGACAAUGGGGGCAACCCUGAUCCAGCCAUGCCGCGUGAGUGAUGAAGGCCUUAGGGUCGUAAAGCUCUUUCGCCUGUGAUGAUAAUGACAGUAGCAGGUAAAGAAACCCCGGCUAACUCCGUGCCAGCAGCCGCGGUAAUACGGAGGGGGUUAGCGUUGUUCGGAAUUACUGGGCGUAAAGCGCGCGUAGGCGGACCAGAAAGUUGGGGGUGAAAUCCCGGGGCUCAACCCCGGAACUGCCUCCAAAACUCCUGGUCUUGAGUUCGAGAGAGGUGAGUGGAAUUCCGAGUGUAGAGGUGAAAUUCGUAGAUAUUCGGAGGAACACCAGUGGCGAAGGCGGCUCACUGGCUCGAUACUGACGCUGAGGUGCGAAAGUGUGGGGAGCAAACAGGAUUAGAUACCCUGGUAGUCCACACCGUAAACGAUGAAUGCCAGUCGUCGGGUAGCAUGCUAUUCGGUGACACACCUAACGGAUUAAGCAUUCCGCCUGGGGAGUACGGUCGCAAGAUUAAAACUCAAAGGAAUUGACGGGG
rnacentral:rRNA from 1 species